UGGGGAAUAUUGGACAAUGGGCGAAAGCCUGAUCCAGCCAUGCCGCGUGUGUGAAGAAGGUCUUCGGAUUGUAAAGCACUUUAAGUUGGGAGGAAGGGCAUUAACCUAAUACGUUAGUGUUUUGACGUUACCGACAGAAUAAGAACCGGCUAACUCUGUGCCAGCAGCCGCGGUAAUACAGAGGGAGCAAGCGUUAAUCGGAAUUACUGGGCGUAAAGCGCGCGUAGGUGGUUUGUUAAGUUGGAUGUGAAAUCCCCGGGCUCAACCUGGGAACUGCAUUCAAAACUGACUGACUAGAGUAUGGUAGAGGGUGGUGGAAUUUCCUGUGUAGCGGUGAAAUGCGUAGAUAUAGGAAGGAACACCAGUGGCGAAGGCGACCACCUGGACUAAUACUGACACUGAGGUGCGAAAGCGUGGGGAGCAAACA
rnacentral:rRNA from 1 species